UACGAAGGGGGCUAGCGUUGCUCGGAAUUACUGGGCGUAAAGCGCACGUAGGCGGCUCUUUAAGUCGGGGGUGAAAUCCUGGAGCUCAACUCCAGAACUGCCUUCGAUACUGGAGAGCUCGAGUCCGGGAGAGGUGAGUGGAACUGCGAGUGUAGAGGUGAAAUUCGUAGAUAUUCGCAGGAACACCAGUGGCGAAGGCGGCUCACUGGCCCGGUACUGACGCUGAGGUGCGAAAGCGUGGGGAGCGAACAGG
rnacentral:rRNA from 1 species